GCAGCCAUGAAAUUAAAAGACACUUACUCCUUGGAAGAAAAGCUGUGACCAACCUAGACAGCAUAUUAAAAAGCAGAGACAUUACUUUGCCAACAAAUGUCUGCCAGGUCAAAGCUAUGGUUUUUCCAAUAGUCAUGUACGGAUGUGAGAGUUGGAUGGUAAAGAAGGCU